rnacentral:lncRNA from 1 species
AUCGGGGCGGUCGCGCUUCUGGAGGCGAUCGAGUUCCAGCACAUAAGGCCCUCGUCGGCGGGUUUCCAACUUUGGCCCCUCGUAGAAUAAGUUGGUGGUUAUCUUUUCUCCUUUUUUUGUCAUCCCUUGGCCAGAUGUCGGUCAAGGGCUUUUAUACUAUUAUGCGAGGAUCGGUCGUACGUGGAUUUGGUACGGUAAACGAUCCCCG